UACGUAGGGGGCAAGCGUUGUCCGGAUUCAUUGGGCGUAAAGAGCGUGUAGGCGGCCAGGUAGGUCGGUUGUGAAAACUGGAGGCUCAACCUUCAGAGGUCGACCGAAACCAUCUGGCUAGAGUCCGGGAGAGGAGAGUGGAAUUCCUGGUGUAACGGUGAAAUGCGCAGAUAUCAGGAAGAACACCCGUGGCGGAAAGGCGGU
rnacentral:rRNA from 1 species